UUGUUUUUUCCAUCGAUUUUCCUUCAAUUUGACGUCACGAUUUUCGUCGACGCAGUUUGACAGUUCUCUUCAGUUGGUCUUGUUUGGACUUGAUCAAAUCAGAGAAACUUUGAACCGAAUCGAACCAGUUUACGUUGUUGAAAAGUUUCGUGUGGAUUUUGGCCGGUUGAUUGAUUUCCUGAUUUCAGCCUUCGUGGUGGAGGUGGAGGAGAACGGGUCACAUCGUUGCUCCGGCGGGCCAUGCCGGAAGACGGGAAGGGGAGCACCCAGUCUGUGAUCGAGGAAGCGGAUUGGUGUUUAUUGGGAGGUGGCGAUGCGUGGUUUUUAUACGGUAACCAAAAAUAUUCCAAUCGAAUCCUGCUGACAACCCAGCGUUUCCGUGUUGUCCCACGGAACGGAAGCUGUAACGAUCG